GUGUGUGAAUGUCCCUUUUUCUCCACAACUCUGCUCUCUGGCUCCUCCUCCUGUCCUCCCUUUUCCUGCCACACAUCACUACUGCCAUGCGUCACUGUCACGGGCUACUGUAACCAGAACAAUUCGUGGUGUACAGGGUAAAAAUACGGACAAUGAUGAGAAAUCCAGUAUCCCUUAAGGGUUUGUAUUCCCUAUUGUUAUAAUGCUGUCUGUCAAAGCUGCCUGGAAAAACCACAAUAUUCUCACUGCUCAUGCUGUUGAUUAUGAAAAUUCUAGUGUUUAUGCAAAAACAAAAACUUGUUAUGAGGAAGAAACGUAUCUAUUCCAUUCUUCUGCUUCCUCUGAGGGGUGACUUUGCUCCUAAGCAUUCUGGCUUACUGCCUUACUUUUCACCAUGGAGACCACAGAGGGACUUACCCACAGGACAAACGGGACAAACAACACUCCACAUUUCCUGAUUUCCUGAUCUUCUUCCUCUUGCAGAGACGUGGUGGCUGGAGGCAUUUUCUAACAGUAGAGAAAGACCAAGAGAAUUGCAGGAGCCUGGUCCUGACGGCAUCCAGUUCCUGAGCCACGGGGAGCGUGCUGAUUCUGGAUUCAGCCUUUGAAGUCGCCCCAUGAUCCUGUUUGAUGUCAUCCGUAAAAUGCUGCCUCUCCGAUGGCUCCAGUCAGUCGCAGACCUUGGUCUAUGACUUAUUACAGAGUGGGAGGUGAUGUUAGAGAGGGUAAGCAUGGACCCUGGAACCAGAUCCUAACUCGGCCCUUAUCAGCUCUGUGAUCCUUGAUGGAAUCAGAGAGAAAAGCCAAAAGAAAAUUGAGAGUCAGCCUCUGGGCCAGAACAGGGUCAUCCCUAGCAGGGCAGAAUGGUGAAGAAUAGCAUAGCACUGGAGGAUGCCCCACUGCUACCACAAGGGCCCAAGUGGACCACGACAGGCACCCAGAGGAGCCCGUCACGGCUGGCAUUGAUGCAGUCUCAUAAAGUGCAAGGCAGCCUGGACACCACCAGCACGGAGCAAGGGAACUCUGCAGGGGACUGUGGUCCAACACGACUAAGUGUAAACAAUUACAGGCAGCAGAUGUUAAUGCAAGAUGGGCAUCUCAUCUCCACUCAUGGGCAAGAAACCCAGGAACAUCUGUGUCCUCACCCAGGGCGGGGCGCUCGCUGCACAUCGGCCAUUCGGAGUACUUUUCUCCACCCUUGGUGGAAGAAGAGGAGCAACAGAACAACAUGAAGUCUGCGUAAAUGAGAAAAAGAAGAAAAGCACACACAAAGAUUUUUCAGAACAGUACAAAAGUAAGAAAAUGGCAAAAGGAUCUGAAGAGUCUUCCAGAAAAAUGCACAAUGCAUUCAAGGCUCUUACUUUGCCUCAUACACUGAGAAAGAAGUCGGUAGAAGAGAGGAAUCUAAGGUCUCCAGCUGAGCCCAUUUUAAAACUGCUGUGAGAUUCUGAUACAUUCAUCCAUCUGACAAAAAUGCUGGAGAAAACUUCUGCCUGUGACAGAAACUUUUCCUUGUCUAUCCAGUGUCUAUUCUCUCCUUCCAUCCUAACAGAAUGACAGCCUUCUUUUAGACAUUCAUUCAUUCUCUCUUGCAUCCAGGAGUAACCAAUGGGACGUAAGUGAAUGCAUGCGUAUGUAAAAGGGCCUCACUCAACAGGGAGGGACAACUCUGGGACCUUCUGCCAUCCCUGUUUCCUCCUUUCUGCCUAGAAUAUGUCACAUUGCUAGAGUUAGCAGAUAAGAAUACAGGUUGUCUAAUUAAAUUUGAAUUUCAGACAAAAACCAAAAAUAAUUUCUUACUGUAAGUUUGCCCUGUACAGUUUGGGACACAUUAAUACUAAAAAAUUAAUUAUUAUCUAAAUUUCAAAUUUAAGUGAGCAUCCUGCAUUUUAUGUAUUUUAUCAUGUCCCUAUGAAUGUGACUGUAAAGACUGAUGCUCUCCCAACCCAACAGAAAGACAACUUAUUGAUAAAAGCUUCAUAUUAAGGAAUAUAUAUAUAUAUAUAUAUAUAUAUAUAUGCCCAAUCACUAAAGCCCAGAGAGUGCCACACUAUUCCCAGGCUACUUCCCUUGGAGCUUUUUCUUGAGACAGAGAUUUAUCUAUUAUUUGGAUUUGUUGCAUGUAGCCAAAAUCAGUCCCAACUAGUAAACUUCCAUUUCCACAUUCCUUUUUCUUCUCCAACCUCUUUCAUGGUUUUUUCUCUUCAGUGACAAUUUAUAUGCAUUUUAGAUUGAUAUUACUAAUUGGAGGAGGAAAAUAAAUUCCUAUAGUACAUGACUCCUCCCUGUAGCUUGAACUAAGGGUAGAAAUACAAAAAUAGUACCUGAAAUCCUCUAGGCAAAGAGUACCUGAGGUCUCUCAAAAGACCACCAACCAAUAAAGCAAACCAAAUAAAGAAAAGGUCAUCAUGAAUAUCUUGUAUUUGAGGAGGUUUGCUUUGGGAAAGCUGUGAGAUUAGAUAGAGAUAAGGAACAUUAAUGAGAUUCUAUAAAGAAAAUAUAUUAGAAACAUACGAUUUUAUUUUAUCUCUGUAUGACAUUGUGCAUUACAUUAAUAACUGAUGAAUAGUUAACAUAUAUCAAAACCAUGCUAAGCAUUUUAUACAUUUUUAUAUACAUAAGUAUUAUAUAAGCUUAAUGCUUAACCUAUUAGGUUGACAUUAUUUGUAGCUAUAUUUUGCAUGCAAGGAUAUGAAGGCCCAGAAAGAAAAAAGAAACUCCUUCUAGAUCAAAACUCAUGGAAGAUGCAUAGCAGAAAUUUGAAUCCAGAUUCUUAGCUCCAAAGCACAGAUUCUACAACUUUAACUCUUGAUACUAUAUUAUAAAAUAUUGUAAAUUUAAAAUACAAUACAUGCAAAGAAAGAUACUUAAUCUGAUGUACUAUGUGUUUUUUUAAAGCAAAAGAGAGUUUUAGAUGAUUUAAUGAUAAAGAGAUGAUUCUUGAGGAGGAAUUAAGCUGACCAAGAUUUGAACAUCAUAUAAUGUACACGUUUUAAAACAUUACAUGGUAUUCCAUAAAUAUGUAUAAUUUUUAGUAUUAAUUAAAAACUUUUAAAACAUGUAUAAGAAGAACCAAUAUAGUGAAAAUGGCCAUAUUCUCAAAAUUAAUAUAAAGAUUUAAUGCAAUUCCAAUAAAAAUACCAUUAGCAUACCUCACAGAAUUAGAGAAAACAUUCCUAAAAUUCAUUUACAACCAGAAGAGACCUAGAAUAGCAAAACAAUUCUGGAAAGCAAGACAAGGUGAUCACAAUCUCAAACUUGAAAUUAAACCACAAAGCUACUGUGAUAAAAUCAGCAUAGUACUGGCAAUCAAACAGACCUGAUAAUCAAUGGAACAGAUUAGAAGAUUCAGACACAACUACAAACACACUCAUUCACCUUAUCUGUGACAAAGGGCCUAACAUGUUCACUAGAAAAAAAGAGCCUCUUUAAUAAAUGGUGCUAGAAAAGCCGGCUUUCCACAUGCCAAAGACUAAAACUAGACCCUUGUUUAUCACCAUGCACUAAACUAAAAUCAAAAUGGACCGAAGAUCUAAAUAUUAAAACAGAAACACUAAAUCUAUUGGAAGAGAAAAUAGAUAGAAAUCCUGAAAACAUAGGUGUAGGCAGAGACUUCUUGAACAAAGUCCAGAUCACACAGAAAGUAUUACAAAGAAUCAACAAGUGGGAUCUCAUCUUAUUAAAAAGCUUUUGCACAACAAAAUAAAUCAACAAAGUGAAAAGAGAACCCACAGAAUGAGAAAACAUUUAGCCAGUUGUCCAUCAGACCAAGGACUUAUAUCUAGAAUUGAAAAUAAUCAGUUCCCCCAAAUUCAAAGACCAGUCUAAAAGUGGGCAUCUAAGAUGAAUACACACUUCUCAGAGAAAGAAAUAUAAACAGCAAAUAAAUAUAUGAAAAAAAAAGAUCAACAUCACUGUCAUUAGAAAGAUGCAAAUUAGAACAACUGAGAUUCUAUCUCACCCCAAAAAGAAUGACUUUUAUCAAGAAAUCAACCAAUAACAAAUGUUGGCAAGGCUGUGGUGAAAAAGGAACACUUCUCCACUGUUGGUGAGAGUGCAGACUGGUACAACCUCUAUGGAAAUUCCUCAGAAAAUUAGGAUUAUAGGCCCAUUUUUACCCAGCUAUUCCCCUUCUAAGUAUUUUCCUGAAAGAAUUAAAAAUAAUCAUACUACAGCUAUAUAUAUAUAUAUAUAUGUGUGUGUGUGUGUGUGUGUGUAUAUAUAUAUGUGUGUAUAUAUAUAUAUAUAUAUACAUAUAUAUAUCCAUGUUUAAAGCAGCAUAAUUUGUAAUAGCCAAAUAUUGGAAACAACCCAAAUACCCAUCAAGUGAGGAAUGGAUAAAAAAGAUGUAGUUUUUUUAUACAGUGGAAUACUACUCAGUUAUAAAGGAGUAUAAACUUACAUUUACAGGUAAAUGGAUGUAAUUUGAGAUCAUAUUCAGAAAUGAAAUAAAUCAGACUCACAUGUAUACGUAUCAUAUUAUCUCCCUGGUGUGAGAAACUGAAAGAGUAAACAAGGACCAAAAUGAACAAUAUACAUUGUGAAGUGGGAAGAAAUUGUUCAAAAGGUAAGAGGAUCUGGGGAGAAGAAAAGGAAGAGGAAGGGAAGGAAAAAUACAUGUUAGCAAUACUACUGGUUUCUCCUAAUUCAUUGAAAAGAAAGGUUUAUGCUAAUAUCAUUUGGAGAAUUUUUUGUGCCCAUAUCUUGUACUCUGAGUAACUACUUUGAAGAUAGCAAUACACAAUGUGUUAACCAUUGUUAGACUCCUAUCAUUUUGUUAUGAAAUUUUGUUGUAUUUUUUCCAUAAGUAAAAAAUUCCAUAAAAUUAAAAGCAAAAAAUAAAAAUGAAACUAUAAGAAACAAAAAUUAUCUGUGUAUUGAAAUGAUAUGCAACAGAGCUCAUGAAAAAAUACAUUAUUGGUAACAAUGCCCCAGACCAAUGUUGUAAAUAUCUGUGUUUCCCUUUAUUAAUGUAAAAAAACAGGAAAAAUGUUGUACUGUCUUAAAAGUAAUAUUAAUAAAAGAGAAAAACAGUCAUACAUACUCAAUUUGUAGGUUUAAAAUAUAAUAUUGCACUGAUUCCAUUUUAUUUGAUAAUUAUAUUUCAAAAGACAUUUCAGGAACCACUUCAAUCUUUUUUACUCACACACACGGAAUCUAUCUAUCUAUCUAUCUAUCUAUAUUUAUAUCUGCAUCUGCAUCUAUCUACAUAUAGAUAGCACUUACAUGUAGAUAGACAGUGGCUCCUCAACUUGUGAUGGGUUUUUGUCUCAGUAAAUAAAUGAUAAAUUGAAAGUA